UUCCGGUUGAUCCUGCCGGACCCCACUGCUAUCGAGGUGGGACUAAGCCAUGCUAGUCGAACGACCCGGACUAUGGCGGGGAGUGGCAGACUGCUCAGUAACACGUAGCUAACCUACCCUCGGGACGGGGAUAACCCCGGGAAACUGGGGCUAAUACCCGAUAGGUAUGGAUUCCUGGAAUGGUGCCAUGCCUAAACGUAAGCACAUCCAUGUUUGUGUGCACGCCCGAGGAUGGGGCUGCGGCCGAUCAGGCAGUUGGUGAGGUAACGGCUCACCAAACCUUUGACCGGUACGGGCCAUGAGAGUGGUAGCCCGGAGAUGGGCACUGAGACAAGGGCCCAGGCCCUACGGGGCGCAGCAGGCGCGAAACCUCCACAAUUCACGCAAGUGAGAUGGGGUUACCUCGAGUGCCAUCUGAAGAAGGUGGCUUUUCCAUGGUGUAAUGAGCCGUGGGAAUAAGGGGGGGGCAAGACUGGUGUCAGCCGCCGCGGUAACACCAGCCCCCCGAGUGGUGGGGAUGAUUAUUUGGCCUAAAGCGUCCGUAGCCAGCUCGGUAAAUCUCUCGUUAAAUCCAGCGUCCUAAGCGUUGGGCUGCGAGGGAAACUGCCGAACUAGAGGGUGGGAGAGGUCAGCGGUAUUCCUGGGGUAGGGGCGAAAUCCAUUGAUCCCAGGAGGACCACCAGUGGCGAAGGCUGCUGACUAGAACACGCCUGACGGUGAGGGACGAAAGCUGGGGUAGCGAAUCGGAUUAGAUACCCGAGUAGUCCCAGCCGUAAACGAUGCACGCUAGGUGUUGGGUCGGCCAUGCGCCGCCUCAGUGCCACAGGGAAAGCCAUUAAGCCUGCCGCCUGGGGAGUACGGGCCGCAAGGCUGAAACUUAAAGGAAUUGGCGGGGGAGCACCACCAGGCGUGAAGCCUGCGGUUUAAUUGGAGUCAACGCCGGA
rnacentral:rRNA from 1 species